rnacentral:rRNA from 1 species
AUCAACCUUCAAUAAAUCUAAUUAAUUAACCCAUAUAAAUGUUACUACAGGGAUAACAGCACAAUAUCUAUUUAAAGCUCGCAUUUAUAUAGAUGAUUAUGACCUCGAUGUUGAAUUAAGUAAUCUACUCCCGUCCUUAUAAGCAAAAAUAAAGCAAGAAAGUCUGUUCGACUUUUAAUUACUUACAUGAUUUGAGUUCAGACCGGCUUCAGCCAGGUCGGAUUCUAUCUUCCCCCAAAUCUUCUUACGUAGUACGAAAGGACCUGUAAAAAUCUAACCUACAUGUCUUAGCAAACCACAUGCCUUAAAUUUAGAAUUUAAUCACCCAACCCAUUACACCAAUCCUCAACUCACUCGCAAGCAUUAUCUCCAUCCUAAUUAGAGUAGCAUUCUACACAAUACUCGAGCGAAAAACACUUAGCUACAUCCAAAUACGAAAAGGCCCUAAUAAAGUAGGAAUCACAGGCAUCAUACAACCCGUCAGAGACGCUAUUAAACUAUUCAACAAAACCCUCAUUAUCCCCACACACUCUAACACAAUACUAUUCAUCAUUACCCCCCUUCUAUCCUUCUUCCUAAGCCUUCUUCUAUG